rnacentral:rRNA from 1 species
UACGAAGGGGGCUAGCGUUGCUCGGAAUUACUGGGCGUAAAGGGCGCGUAGGCGGAUAGUUUAGUCAGAGGUGAAAGCCCAGGGCUCAACCUUGGAAUUGCCUUUGAUACUGGCUAUCUUGAGUUCGGGAGAGGUGAGUGGAAUGCCGAGUGUAGAGGUGAAAUUCGUAGAUAUUCGGCGGAACACCAGUGGCGAAGGCGACUCACUGGCCCGAUACUGACGCUGAGGCACGAAAGCGUGGGGAAGCCAAACUAGG